ensembl:miRNA MIR7843 microRNA 7843
GUAGACAGGAUGAGGGCAGAGCCAGCUUCCUGAUCUGAUGGAAGUCAUGAAGCCUUCUCUGCCUUACGCUUGGCUCUGC